rnacentral:rRNA from 1 species
GGAAUCUUAGACAAUGGGCGCAAGCCUGAUCUAGCCAUGCCGCGUGAGCGAUGACGGCCUUAGGGUUGUAAAGCUCUUUCACCGGGGAAGAUAAUGACGGUACCCGGAGAAGAAGCCCCGGCUCAAUCCGUGCAAGCAGCCGCGGUAAUACGUAGGGGGCUAGCGUUGUUCGGAAUGACUGGGCGUAAAGCGCGCGUAGGCGGAGGUUCAAGUCGGGGGUGAAAGCCCGGGGCUCAACCCCGGAACUGCCUCCGAUACUGUUCUUCUUGAGGUCGAGAGAGGUGAGUGGAAUUCCGAGUGUAGAGGUGAAAUUCGUAGAUAUUCGGAGGAACACCAGUGGCGAAGGCGGCUCACUGGCUCGAUACUGACGCUGAGGCGCGAAAGCGUGGGGAGCAAAC